rnacentral:rRNA from 1 species
ACUCCUACGGGAGGCAGCAGUAAGGAAUAUUGGUCAAUGGACGGAAGUCUGAACCAGCCAUGCCGCGUGCAGGAUGACUGCCCUAUGGGUUGUAAACUGCUUUUGUCGAGGAAUAAACCUAUCUACGUGUAGAUAGCUGAAUGUACUCGAAGAAUAAGGAUCGGCUAACUCCGUGCCAGCAGCCGCGGUAAU